rnacentral:rRNA from 1 species
AGUGAACGCUGGCGGUAGGCCUAACACAUGCAAGUCGAACGGCAGCACAGUAAGAGCUCGCUCUUACGGGUGGCGAGUGGCGGACGGGUGAGGAAUACAUCGGAAUCUACUUUUUCGUGGGGGAUAACGUAGGGAAACUUACGCUAAUACCGCAUACGACCUACGGGUGGAAGCAGGGGAUCUUCGGACCUUGCGCGAUUGAAUGAGCCGAUGUCGGAUUAGCUAGUUGGCGGGGUAAAGGCCCACCAAGGCGACGAUCCGUAGCUGGUCUGAGAGGAUGAUCAGCCACACUGGAACUGAGACACGGUCCAGACUCCUACGGGAGGCAGCAGUGGGGAAUCUUGGACAAUGGGCGCAAGCCUGAUCCAGCCAUACCGCGUGGGUGAAGAAGGCCUUCGGGUUGUAAAGCCCUUUUGUUGGGAAAGAAAAGCAGCAUGUUAAUACCCCGCUGUUCUGACGGUACCCAAAGAAUAAGCACCGGCUAACUUCGUG